rnacentral:rRNA from 1 species
GUGAUCAUCGAAUCUUUGAACGCACCUUGCGCCCCUUGGUUAUUCCUCGGGGCAUGCCUGUUUGAGUAUCAUGAACACCUCAACUCUCAUGGUCUUCCGUGAUGAGCUUGGACUUUGGAGGCUUGCUGGCCUUGCCGCCAGCUCCUCUCAAAUGAAUCAGCUUGCCAGUGUUUGGUGGCAUCACGGGUGUGAUAACUAUCUACUCUCGUGGUCGUUUGCCAGGUAACCCUCAGCAAUGAAGGUUCAUUGGGGCUCAUAAAAGUCUCUCCCAGAGAGGACAAAUUUUGAACGUUCGAUCUCAAAUCAGGUAGGACUACCCGCUGAACUUAAGCAUAUCAAUAAGCGGAGG